ensembl:lncRNA
UGACUGUACCAUGGGAGAAAGAGAGAGAGAGAGGUAACGAGAGAGCGAGGGAGUAGGGACGAUGCAAAGCACUCCCCUUGUGGAACCGAGUUGAAUUCGAGAACACCGUGUCCCCGGUGGCAGUUGACCCCCGCAAUGGAUCCGUCUCUCCGGCAGGACUGCAGACGGAGAGAGAAGGAGGAAAGUGCUCCAGCCUCCAUUCUAGAGACCGGGGGAAUGGGCACCGGGCUCAAGGGACCAGGGAAACCCCCCUCACCCACCCCCAAGCUCCACGCGACAGGGUUAUCCUGAGAGGAGAACCAGACGUCCCGGGAACCCGGCGCUAACAUCAUCAUGAAGGGCAAAGAAAGUAUGGAAGAGCGAAGAGGAGGAGGAGGAGAUGGAGGAGGAGGAGAGAGGAGGAGGAGAGAGGAGAAAGGAGCGAGCGGGACAGAGGCGAGGAAGAGUGAUUGCAGACGGCGGCAGCACAGAGCGGGAGGGAGUUCUCCCAGACACACUGACCUACAUCCAGCGCCGUCUGGGAAUCGCAGACAGACGGGUGGAGCUACGCAGGGAAGGGGUGCCGGCGUGGGAAGCAAAAUAAAAAAGAGGAAAAUAAAACGAGGCAUGGUGUGAUGUACCAUUGCACCCUGUAUAAGGGAGCUUGCCUUGGUACAGAUAAUGGACUGAAAAAAACGGUUAAAAAUACGUUGAAAAAGAUUAUGGGCCAGAGGUUACGCAGACCUUAUCAGCUGACCAACGAGAUCAUCUGGAGAUGUGCUCAGGUGUGCGUUGAGUCAUCGCCUCGACUUUGGGUCCUUUAUUAGCGCAAACGCAUUGCUUUCAUUUAGCCCACCGCGCUAACCUACAAACAGCCCCCUGACGUAUAGAUAAGUGCAACCAGCUGUUCUACUGAAGCGGAUCCGUGUUGCGCAUUAGGGCUGCUUAAUAUUCCGAGGAGGAUAUAGCCUCCGUGCGAUGGGAUGAAGGGGUCAUCCCAGUGCCCGCCUGUGUCUCCUCUGUGGGAAGACGGAUGAAACAUCUGCUAAGCAGCCAGGACAUAAAGCGGUAAUAAAUGUCACAAUAAUGGCUCCAUUUAAAAACAAGGUAUCAUCCAGCAAACAAGUACCUAUAAGUGGUCCAACUGAGGCUGGAGAGAGAGAUUAUUUAAAUAUUUUAAGCUCGGCUAGGCUGAGACAAAGUUAUUGGCUGGAUGGCUGUUGGGUUCUGUGCUGGUUAUUAUUCACCAAACUGUUCCUACAUUCUGUUAUAAAUACAAAAUUUAAACUUUGGAUUAGUAUGUUUAUGAAAUUGUUUACAAGGCCCUAUAGCGUCAAUGAGCAGUGUGAUUGUGUCUUACAUGGAUUGGUGGACGGUCACUAUAAGAUGACCCAGUCACCUGCUGACGACACACCUCUAGAACCAACCCUACUGGUUGAACAAAUGAACACAUGCAAUCAGGAGGCAUGUUUACUGAACUUGUUGAACUGAAACCACGCUGCCUUCCUGGGUAACACUUUGCAUUAUUUAAUUAGUUCAUUAACAUGAGUCAAUGCAAUAAUAAACGUUAACAGGUAAUUAACGGUUAACUAACAGUUAAUUAAUGGUUAACUAAUGGUCUAGCAAUUUACUGAUGUGUUUAUUUUUACUAAUGUUGUUCAUGUCAACUCAGGUAAUGGUGUUUAUGUUAAAGCUAUAACAUACCCUGACUGUAAAUGAUAACCCUUCCUGAAGGCUAUGUGUGCGCGCACACUCGCCGCACAAACACACACACACACACACACACACACACACACACACACACACACACACACACACAAACACACUAAUUAGCAAGUUAAAUGUAUAUUUUGUCAUGUUCGACAAAAUACAAACUAAAGUCUGAGAUCACAGUGCGCUUGAUUGAGAUAAAUGAGCACAAAAGAAGGGAAACACGAAGACAAGUCUCCCAUGUCAAACACAUCAUUCGACAAUGACUGAAGAGGUGUAGGCGAGCCCAUCAAUGCUAAUCUCAACCGCUGAGGUCAAAGUUCCAGCGGAUGUCAGAGGUCAGCACUAGGGGAGGAUAUCGGCAUUGAUUUCAGCUGCAGUAGUGAUUGCUUGGAAGAAAUCUGGACACUCUUGGCCCACCGUGACACAUCAAAUGCCACUGUUGGUAAAGGAUGUGGUUGUGCUGCUGCUGAUCAAAGGCAGAUUACAGAGUACCAAAAUCCCAAAAAUGUGGUUAUGACUAAACCAAGCCCAGUACAUUUUUACCCACAACAUAUUGGCUUUGAUCUGAUUUUCAAUGACUAAGAAAUGUAAAUUUUUUGUUCUUCUGAAUAGGGAUAAUGAUUGCUUGGUAAUCAUCGAAUGAACUGUAUUCAUUCUCCGACCGAUAUUUGUAUAGGGUUAAGAGUCAUUCAUAAUGGAAUCUGCUAAAGAAUAUCCUAACGUUUAUAACACAUUGUAGAUCAUGAAACUGCACACAACUGCAUUUUGUAAACACUGCCUCGAUCCAAACAGUUUUCCCUGUAGCACUGCACGGUACGUUUUCUUUCAAUGAAAUAAGCCUGAUGUACCGUGAACACUGAAUAAAUACCUUUGAUUCCCAGUGA